GGUGAGUCCGGGGCAGAGGCAGCGGUAAUACUGAGGGGGUAAGCGGUAUCCGGAUUUAUUGGGUUUAAAGGGUCCGUAGGCGGACCUGUAAGUCAGUGGUGAAAUCUCAUAGCUUAACUAUGAAACUGCCAUUGAUACUGCAGGUCUUGAGUAAAUUUGAAGUGGCUGGAAUAAGUAGUGUAGCGGUGAAAUGCAUAGAUAUUACUUAGAACACCAAUUGCGAAGGCAGGUCACUAAGAUUUAACUGACGCUGAUGGACGAAAGCGUGGGUAGCGAACAGGAUUAGAUACCCUUGUAGUC
rnacentral:rRNA from 1 species